CCAGCAGCCGCGGUAAUUCCAGCUCCAAUAGCGUAUAUUAAAGUUGUUGCAGUUAAAAAGCUCGUAGUUGGACUUCCGGUCGCUCGAGUGGUCCGCCGCAAGGUGAGCACCACUUUGAGCGACCUUCCUCUCGAGGACCACGUGUGCCCUUAACUGGGUGUGCGUGGGACUCGGGACCUUUACUUUGAAAAAAUUAGAGUGUUCAAAGCAGGCCUUCGCUUGAAUACUUCAGCAUGGAAUAAUGGAAUAGGACUUUGGUUCUAUUUGUUGGUUUUAGGACCGAAGUAAUGAUUAAUAGGGACAGUCGGGGGCAUUAGUAUUUAAUUGUCAGAGGUGAAAUUCUUGGAUUUAUGAAAGACUAAC
rnacentral:rRNA from 1 species